rnacentral:rRNA from 1 species
GAUCAUGGCUCAGGAUGAACGCUAGCUACAGGCUUAACACAUGCAAGUCGAGGGGCAGCAUGGUCUUAGCUUGCUAAGGCUGAGGCGACCGGCGCACGGGUGAGUAACACGUAUCCAACCUGCCGUCUACUCUUGGCCAGCCUUCUGAAAGGAAGGUUAAUCCAGGAUGGGAUCAUGAGUUCACAUGUCCGCAUGAUUAAAGGUAUUUUCUGGUAGACGAUGGGGA